rnacentral:lncRNA from 1 species
UACGUGCGUCUGUACUAAAUUUAUAUUAGUGAUGCCCGUGGAGGGUGUUCAGUUUAGGAAUUUGGGAGUCGACGUUAAUUCGAUCUACGAUAGAUGGACAAGUAGGAAAAGUUCGCAAACCUAUGUGUAAUAGAUUUUCUGAAUUAGCAAUCUGUUGAUGGGUCAUUUGGGAGAUCACAAACGAUACUUUUAGAUCGGUCUAGCUAGUCUCUCUGAUUGCAAUCCGCAAGAUUAAAAAGUUGUUAAACUCUUGGAAACAGCUUAUCUCUGCUAAUCGGCACUUUCACAAGCUGUAAUUUUUUUUUAUUAUCCCGUACUGUUCGAGACGCUGGAUGCCUAACCGCUGUAGUCUAAUUUGUCUUUUAAAUGAAUAAAGUGAAUAAUAUACUACAAUUUUCUUUUUUUUUUUAGAGAGAUAGAUAGCACGCUAUUCGCAUCGUUUAUUUCAUUUAGAAAUAAAUUUAGCUCAAAAUGUGAAUCAACUAGUAUUUGAAUUUAGGAUUUCGAGUACCAACUAUCACACCUUUUGUCACUUGCUCUAGAAAUAGUCCGUUAUACUAUAUUAAAAAAAAAAAAAAAA